UACGUAGGGUGCGAGCGUUGUCCGGAAUUAUUGGGCGUAAAGAGCUCGUAGGCGGUGUGUCACGUCGGCCGUGAAAACCUGCAGCUUAACUGUGGGCGUGCGGUCGAUACGGGCAUCACUGGAGUUCGGCAGGGGAGACUGGAAUUCCUGGUGUAGCGGUGAAAUGCGCAGAUAUCAGGAGGAACACCGGUGGCGAAGGCGGUUCUCUGGGCAUUACCUGACGCUGAGGAGCGAAAGUGUGGGGAGCGAAACAGG
rnacentral:rRNA from 1 species